GCAGCAUCCUCGUAAACAUUAUUUAGCCUCAACUUAUAAAGAUGUAGCAGCGUUGGCUUCUUCAGUCAAUGGCGUUGGCUUACCACCCUAUAAAUUGGUGACCUUUUCUUCUGCUACAUCUUCUUCAUCUGCCUUGGUGUUCAAUGGUUUUCCAUCUAAGCGUGCCAUCAGAUCUUCAUUCAACAAAUCCAAUUUCCAUACUUGAGACUCAAGACGAUAAUUUAGUUGUUGCAUUCCUCCAACAUUUUCUACCAUUCUUCUGUCGAUUUCAAAGACAUCUUCAAAGGUGUUGUCCCUGAAAUUGGCGUAUUGGUCUACACUAAAUUAUUGGCUUCCUUCUCUAAUGCGGCUAAUUUAGUCUACAACAUCGUAACCUUUACCUGUGGCCGCUCUUGCCAUUCCUUCCAAUCGGUCUCCAUCUUUGCUUUCUUAGACACCAAGUUUGCUAUCUUGUCCUUUUUCUGCCAUCCACUUCUCCUCAAUCCUAAACUCCACCAGCGCACCAUCAAUUGGUGGUAAGUUUUGUAAAAUACGUAAAAAUUCAUGCCUAUGCAUUCCUCAAAAAUCUUGCUACUUCUCCUUAGUCCAACAAACAUCCAACCAGAUCGACCCCAUGUUAGUCACAAUAACACACUCUAAUGGUGGCAACUCAUCCUUGCACCUUACAUUGCAUUGUUUCUCCUCUCUAUUUAACUGCCUCUUAAUCUUUUCAAUUGCCAUUGUAUUCUAACACAAGCAAGCACUCACAACUAAUCUCUCAAAACACACAUACACGGUUGCUUAUACAAAAAAAACCAUGAUGCUCGUCAAGAGUCUCCUU
rnacentral:lncRNA from 1 species